rnacentral:rRNA from 1 species
AUUGAACGCUGGCGGUAGGCUUAACACAUGCAAGUCGAGCGGUAGCAGGCCUUCGGGUGCUGACGAGCGGCGGACGGGUGAGUAACGCGUAGAAAACUGCCCAAUAGUGGGGGAUAGCCCAGAGAAAUUUGGAAUAAUACCGCAUACGCUCUACGGAGGAAAGCGGGCUUCGGCUCGCGCUAUUGGAUGUGUCUGCGUGAGAUUAGCUAGUUGGUGAGGUAAUGGCUCACCAAGGCGACGAUCUCUAGCUGGUCUGAGAGGAUGAUCAGCCACACUGGGACUGAGACACGGCCCAGACUCCUACGGGAGGCAGCAGUGGGGAAUAUUGCACAAUGGGGGAAACCCUGAUGCAGCCAUACCGCGUGUGUGAAGAAGGCCUUCGGGUUGUAAAGCACUUUCAGUGGGGAGGAAAAGUUAAUGGUU